rnacentral:lncRNA from 1 species
UUGCAAAGCCUGCCUGUGCUCUUCAUUGGAAUGUAAUUUUUAAUCUCCCUAAGCCUCAUUUUCUUCUUCUGUAAAAUAGGGAUAAUUACAGAACCUGUCUCUUAGGGUUCUUGGGAAAUUCAAUGAGAUAAUCAAUCUGAAGUGCCUGAUAUACAGCAAGAGCUCAGUAAGUGCUGAUGUCUUUAUGCCACAGCUAGUAAACGGUUGAGAUAAGAUCCAGACCCAUUCCCCUGAAAUUUCAGCUGAAGAAGUUGCUUUUCAGUUACCAUCACCGUCUAUUUCUAGUGCUUCAGACAGCUGCUAGACAGAUGCCUUUUCACACUGACCUGUCUGUGUGUUCAUUUUUCUAGCGUACGGCCUCUGUGUGGCUGGGUACAAGCAGGCCUGCCUCGGCCAGAGGCCUGGUAUAUUCUGACCUGCUCACUACAAGGAAGGCUGUAGUCCCCAAGGAACUAGAUCUGCCUUGUCUUAUGGGAG